GAAAAAGCCAGAGUCAGACGAAAAGAUCUCAGAUGAAAAGUUAUCAGUCGGGUAUCAGGCAUCAGAUGAAUGGAGUCAGGUCUCAGAAAAAACGGAGUCAGACGAAAAGAUCUCAGAUGAAAAGUUAUCAGAAGCCGAAAAAAUAUCCCGCGUCAUCACGACUUGCAUCAAAAUGCGACCAAACGUAGUAUACUGUGUGAAAGCGAGAAAAGGAGAAGACAGUGAUACAGAACAAAAAUGGAUAAAGUGCAACAAUAUGAGCGAUUAAAAAACGAACUGGAAAAUGGGACAACAAGGAGGCAACGAGGUCGGGGCACUAUUAGAAAAUUAUAUUGGAGGAAACCCCAUAACGGGUCAUAAUGCAAGGGCAUGAAACCUAUGAUGACCUCAUUUCCAUAGGACAGGAAAAGUUCUGGCCUGAUUGCGCCGAGAGUGAGUUCACCCUAUGCCAUCAGGUGGAGCAAGGAGGAUUUCAUGAGGGAACAUUCAACCAUGGCCGAGAUGUCCACACCAUGGAAGAGAACAUUAUUUGUAGGCCGAAAAGAAUUAGAUGAUUUAAUAUGACUUUGUUGAUGACCAGACAUCAAUGUUAGAUGAGCCCGCUAAAUCAGAUGUGGCAGGAAGUUUUGCCAGUGAGUUCCCUGUGGAUUCAGGGAAUAGUGCAGAUAGAGGCACAAACGAUUUUCCAUUAGGGUCAUCUGGUGUAGAGGAGGCUGUAGACCAACAAUGGUCGCCAGACAGUGCAAUCGAUGGAGGUGUUGAAUGUGAAAGUGCUGGAGAUGUUACUGCAUCUUCCAGUUCCUUUGUGCCAUCAUUGUACCUUCCUCGUCUUCCGUCUGUGGACACAUCUUUGAUUACAUACGAUGAGAAUGUUCUCCUUGGAGAGGGAACAUUUGGGAAAGUAUAUGGCGGUUCCUAUCAGGGUACUCCGGCAGCGAUUUGGCCCGGAAAGAGAUGAGGAUAAAGACAUCCAGCAUGAAAUUAACGUGUCCCUGAGACUGUCUAAUCCUAACAUAGUUAGACUGAUGGCAGCUGCCCGAUCUGAUUUGUGCUUUUUGCUGGCGACGGAAUACAUUCAUGGUGCAACCCUGGAUGCUGUGAUCCAUUGCAACAACUGCCUUGUAACGCGGUUUUCCUGAGACCUGAUGCCUUUUCAUCUGAUGUCUGACACCUGAGUCUGACAGCUGAGGAUGUCCUAAAAUGUACACCGUACAUGUGAGCAAAUGGUCACAAGAGCAAGUUUGGCUGACAAAAGGUUUGGCAUGAUCAAACGCUGGGGUGAUGAUUAAAAUGAAUGUUAAAAUGCAUACACUCUAGAAUGUUAAAAUACAUACACUCUGGAAUUUCUCACUACAGUACAUCUGUAUGCUACUGAGACCUUACAUUUCCCCUUAGGGAUCUAUCUAUAUAAUAUAUCUAUUUAUCUACAUAUUUUCUCAUUUUGUGACCUCAUUUAUGUUUGAACAAAGUUUGAAAAAAGUUACAUGUUCUC